GGCCUAAUGGUCUAGUAGCAUGAUUCUUCCUUUGGGUUGUUAAACUUUGGAAGAGGUCCUGGGUUCAAUUCCCAGUUGGGCUC